rnacentral:lncRNA from 1 species
ACCAACCAAAGCACUUUUUGGAGUACAUCGGUAAAAUAAGGGCAACAAUAUUUUAAACAACUUACGUACAUACUUAUAAUCUUUUUUACAUUCCCGCGUCAACGCGGGCCUAUUAUGUAUAUAAAUAUUUGUUGAGACUAUUACUGUGGCAGAUCAGGUAAACCGUUGAUCACCAAGACUUGCACAUAUGUACUAUUAUGAUGGAUUUGCGGUCUCUGCCUCUCGUUUGACUGACUUGAAGUCUUGGAAAUGCUGCCUUCCUCAGUUGUUAGUUCUGCUUCGACUUUUAUUAAUUUUCUUUGCAUAUUAUAUAUAUGAACUCAAACUCUGAGAAUAUUAAAAACUUGUGGUCAAAUGCAAUUUAUGGGUCUUUUUCCUAACAAAUUAUGUACUUAUAUAGUUAUAGUAGGUCUUUUAAGACGGCUUUGAUAUGCCAUACAUAAAUUCACAACUGAAACUCUUUCAACUAAUAAGUCUUCACACACAUACAUAUAGGUAUUUAUUUAAAUUUAUCCGUAUAUAUUGUUGAGAACAUCCACACUACAAGAAAAAUAGGAUACAACAACAUUAAAAACAAGUGUAUUUUUCUCUUGUAAUAAACAUGCUUUGACAUGGAAUGCACGGUGUUAUAUACCAUAGCUUUAUUUCACAAUGUUCAAGUAUUGCGUUGCUAAAAUUAGUACGAUUACGUGCAUGUUCCCAUUGUAAACUGGUUUUUUUAUUAUUUAAAAUUAUCAUUGCGCGUUGUUAUUUAUGUUCAGUAAUACAACAUGUACUUGAACAUUGUGGAUUAUAUUCUAUAAGGGAAAUUUUAUUUAAACCCAAGUAACAUUUUUCUACUCCUAACUUAAAUUUUAAAUGUUAAUUGUCUAUUUUAUCAUAUUGCAUAAUUAUUAUUAAGUACUAAAUAAAAUUAAUAAUAAAACUCAAAUAUCUCAAUAAACAUAUACACUAUAAUUAAACCCUAGCAUCACUCUUUAUUUAUCCUACAUUCAUUCCGGUUAAAAUCCUAAUAGUUCUUAUAGAGAAAAACAAGUUUAUUUUUUAUUUUUUAUUUGUAUUGAUAGAUGAUGAUUUUGAAGUUUUAAAUCAUCCAAUUAAGGUAUGACUCGAUUUAUGGAUAUUUUAUUCGUUUGAUUUAACCUUUUAUAGAGAUUAGAAGAUGAGUUUUUGAGUUUCAAUUUUUUUUUUCAUCAAUCCUGCAUAGUACCCUUUGUUAAACUUUCUGCAACAACAAAUUGUUGCAGACACUCUCCCGGUGUCUGUCUGCACCCCAAAACACCAUCCAAUACGAUUUCUGCUGUUGCUGGUACAUGUAUAGCUGCUGCUGUCUAUGUCCAUGUGCCCUCCAAUACGAUUUAAAUUUUUCUUGUAACUGAUCAAUCCUUGAAGACACUAAUUUAGGUCCACAAUCACUCCAGAUAAAGAAUUAUAUAGCUAACAAAUAACCUACUGAAGCUUGCCUGAUAACUUUUUGAAAGCUAAAAUCAUUGGAUGGCUGCACAAUGUCAUUAAUA